AUAAUCGAGUAGGAGCGCUCGGCUAGAAAGAGCCGACCAGAGGAUGCCGACCAGAGAAGCGCUCGACUAGAAAGCGCUGACCAGAGACAAAAAGCGCCAAAUAGUGGCGCUCGGCUAGAAGGUGCUCGUCCGAAGGGCGCCGACCAGAAGUACUAGAAGUGACCCCGCCACAGGGCGCCCCGUCGGGCGACCGGCUCGGCUCGGCACCCCUGCCGAGCCAAUGCCUUAACCAAAUGUUCAACUUUCGCCUAACCCUCUAAGCCUGAGGGACCUGACAAACUCCACUACAACAUGCCGCUAUCUCCAAGCCAUCAAGGCA
rnacentral:lncRNA from 1 species